rnacentral:rRNA from 1 species
GAUGAACGCUGGCGGCGUGCCUAACACAUGCAAGUCGAGCGAACAGACGAGGAGCUUGUUCCUUUGACGUUAGCGGCGGACGGGUGAGUAACACGUGGAUAACCCACCUAUAUUUCUGGGAUAACUUCGGGAAACCGGAUCUAAUACCGGAUAAUAUAUUGAACCGCAUGGUUCAAUAGUGAAAGACGGUUUUGCUGUCACUUAUAGAUGGAUCCGCGCCGCAUUAGCUAGUUGGUAAGGUAACGGCUUACCAAGGCAACGAUGCGUAGGCGACCUGAGAGGGUGAUCGGCCACACUGGAACUGAGACACGGUCCAGACUCCUACGGGAGGCAGCAGUAGGGAAUCUUCCGCAAUGGGCGAAAGCCUGACGGAGCAACGCCGCGUGAGUGAUGAAGGUCUUCGGAUCGUAAAACUCUGUUAUUAGGGAAGAACAAAUGUGUAAGUAACUAUGCACGUCUUGACGGUACCUAAUCAGAAAGCCACGGCUAACUACGUG